UACAGAGGGUGCGAGCGUUGUCCGGAAUCACUGGGCGUAAAGGGCGCGUAGGCGGCCUGAUAAGUAGGGGGUGAAAUCCUGUGGCUCAACUGCAGGGCUGCCUCCUAGACUGUCGGGCUUGAGCACGGUAGAGGCAGAUGGAAUUCCCGGUGUAGCGGUGGAAUGCGUAGAGAUCGGGAAGAACAUCGGUGGCGAAGGCGGUCUGCUGGGCCGUUGCUGACGCUGAGGCGCGACACGUGGGGGAGCAAACAGG
rnacentral:rRNA from 1 species